AGUGAACGCUGGCGGUAGGCCUAACACAUGCAAGUCGAACGGCAGCACAGGAGAGCUUGCUCUCUGGGUGGCGAGUGGCGGACGGGUGAGGAAUACAUCGGAAUCUACUUUUUCGUGAGGGAUAACGUAGGGAAACUUACGCUAAUACCGCAUACGACCUACGGGUGAAAGCAGGGGAUCUUCGGACCUUGCGCGAUUGAAUGAGCCGAUGUCGGAUUAGCUAGUUGGCGGGGUAAAGGCCUACCAAGGCGACGAUCCGUAGCUGGUCUGAGAGGAUGAUCAGCCACACUGGAACUGCGACACGGUCCAGACUCCUACGGGAGGCAGCAGUGGGGAAUAUUGGACAAUGGGCGCAAGCCUGAUCCAGCCAUACCGCGUGGGUGAAGAAGGCCUUCGGGUUGUAAAGCCCUUUUGUUGGGAAAGAAAUCCAGCUGGCUAAUACCCGGUUGGGAUGACGGUACCCAAAGAAUAAGCACCGGCUAACUUCGUGCCAGCAGCCGCCGUAA
rnacentral:rRNA from 1 species